AUGAACGCUAGCUACAGGCUUAACACAUGCAAGUCGAGGGGCAGCAUGAACUUAGCUUGCUAAGUUUGAUGGCGACCGGCGCACGGGUGAGUAACACGUAUCCAACCUGCCGAUGACUCGGGGAUAGCCUUUCGAAAGAAAGAUUAAUACCCGAUGGCAUAGUUCUUCCGCAUGGUAGAACUAUUAAAGAAUUUCGGUCAUCGAUGGGGAUGCGUUCCAUUAGGUUGUUGGCGGGGUAACGGCCCACCAAGCCUUCGAUGGAUAGGGGUUCUGAGAGGAAGGUCCCCCACAUUGGAACUGAGACACGGUCCAAACUCCUACGGGAGGCAGCAGUGAGGAAUAUUGGUCAAUGGACGAGAGUCUGAACCAGCCAAGUAGCGUGAAGGAUGACUGCCCUAUGGGUUGUAAACUUCUUUUAUACGGGAAUAAAGUGAGGCACGUGUGCCUUUUUGUAUGUACCGUAUGAAUAAGGAUCGGCUAACUCCGUGCCAGCAGCCGCGGUAAUACGGAGGAUCCGAGCGUUAUCCGGAUUUAUUGGGUUUAAAGGGAGCGUAGGCGGACGCUUAAGUCAGUUGUGAAAGUUUGCGGCUCAACCGUAAAAUUGCAGUUGAUACUGGGUGUCUUGAGUACAGUAGAGGCAGGCGGAAUUCGUGGUGUAGCGGUGAAAUGCUUAGAUAUCACGAAGAACUCCGAUUGCGAAGGCAGCUUGCUGGACUGUAACUGACGCUGAUGCUCGAAAGUGUGGGUAUCAAACAGGAUUAGAUACCCUGGUAGUCCACACAGUAAACGAUGAAUACUCGCUGUUUGCGAUAUACAGUAAGCGGCCAAGCGAAAGCGUUAAGUAUUCCACCUGGGGAGUACGCCGGCAACGGUGAAACUCAAAGGAAUUGACGGGGGCCCGCACAAGCAGUGGAGUAUGUGGUUUAAUUCGAAGCAACGCGAAGAACCUUACCAGGUCUUGACAUCCGAUGCAUAGUGCAGAGAUGCAUGAAGUCCUUCGGGACAUCGAGACAGGUGGUGCAUGGUUGUCGUCAGCUCGUGUCGUGAGAUGUUGGGUUAAGUCCCGCAACGAGCGCAACCCCUAGUAUUAGUUGCCAGCGAGUAAUGUCGGGAACUCUAAUACGACUGCCGGUGAUAAAUCGGAGGAAGGUGGGGAUGACGUCAAAUCAUCAUGCCCUUUAUGUCUUGGGCUACACACGUACUACAAUGGAUGUUACAAAGGGAAGCGAAGUAGUGAUAUGGAGCGAAACCCAAAAAGCAUCCCCAGUUCGGAUUGUAGGCUGAAAUUCGCCUACAUGAAGCCGGAAUUGCUAGUAAUGGCAGGUCAGCAUACUGCCGUGAAUACGUUCCCGGGCCUUGUACACACCGCCCGUCAAGCCAUGAAAGCCGGGGGUACCUGAAGUGCGUAACCGCAAGGAGCGCCCUAGGGUAAAACUGGUGAUUGGGGCU
rnacentral:rRNA from 1 species